rnacentral:rRNA from 1 species
AGAGUUUGAUCCUGGCUCAGGAUGAACGCUAGCGGCAGGCUUAACACAUGCAAGUCGAGGGGCAGCGGGGAGGAAGCUUGCUUUCUCCGCCGGCGACCGGCGCACGGGUGAGUAACACGUAUGCAACCUGCCCCUGUCAGGGGGACAACCCGCCGAAAGGCGGGCUAAACCCGCGUACAUGCCACCGGGGCAUCCCGGAGGCAGGAAAGGCUUCGGCCGGACAGGGAUGGGCAUGCGGCGCAUUAGGCAGUAGGCGGGGUAACGGCCCACCUAACCGACGAUGCGUAGGGGUUCUGAGAGGAAGGUCCCCCACACUGGUACUGAGACACGGACCAGACUCCUACGGGAGGCAGCAGUGAGGAAUAUUGGUCAAUGGUCGGGAGACUGAACCAGCCAAGCCGCGUGAGGGAGGAAGGUACAGAGUAUCGUAAACCUCUUUUGUCAGGGAACAAAGGCGGGGACGUGUCCCCGGAUGAGUGUACCUGAAGAAAAAGCAUCGGCUAACCCCGUGCCAGCAGCCGCGGUAAUACGGAGGAUGCGAGCGUUAUCCGGAUUUAUUGGGUUUAAAGGGUGCGCAGGCGGUCUGUUAAGUCAGCGGUCAAAGCCCGGGGCUCAACCCCGGCCCGCCGUUGAAACUGGCAGUCUCGAGUUGGAGAGAAGUAUGCGGAAUGCGCGGUGUAGCGGUGAAAUGCAUAGAUAUCGCGCAGAACUCCGAUUGCGAAGGCAGCAUGCCGGCUCCACACUGACGCUGAGGCACGAAAGCGUGGGUAUCGAACAGGAUUAGAUACCCUGGUAGUCCACGCAGUAAACGAUGAAUGCUGGCUGUCCGGGGGGAUUGACCCCUGGGUGGCGAAGCGAAAGCGAUAAGCAUUCCACCUGGGGAGUACGCCGGCAACGGUGAAACUCAAAGGAAUUGACGGGGGCCCGCACAAGCGGAGGAACAUGUGGUUUAAUUCGAUGAUACGCGAGGAACCUUACCCGGGCUCAAACGGGGAGUGGCGCAGGCAGAGACGCCUGUUUCCCACGGGACACUCCCCGAGGUGCUGCAUGGUUGUCGUCAGCUCGUGCCGUGAGGUGUCGGCUUAAGUGCCAUAACGAGCGCAACCCCCGCGUGCAGUUGCUAACAGUCAACGCUGAGGACUCUGCACGGACUGCCGGCGCAAGCCGCGAGGAAGGCGGGGAUGACGUCAAAUCAGCACGGCCCUUACGUCCGGGGCGACACACGUGUUACAAUGGGUGGUACAGCGGGAAGCCAGGCGGCGACGCCGAGCGGAACCCGAAAUCCACUCUCAGUUCGGAUCGGAGUCUGCAACCCGACUCCGUGAAGCUGGAUUCGCUAGUAAUCGCGCAUCAGCCAUGGCGCGGUGAAUACGUUCCCGGGCCUUGCACACAACGCCCGUCA